GUGCCAGCAGCCGCGGUAAUACAGAAGGUGCAAGCGUUAAUCGGAAUUACUGGGCGUAAAGCGCAUGUAGGCGGGUAUUUAAGUCGAUUGUGAAAGCCCUGGGCUCAACCUAGGAACUGCAGUCGAUACUGGAUACCUAGAGUAUGGUAGAGGACAGUGGAAUUCCCGGUGUAGCGGUGAAAUGCAUAGAUAUCGGGAGGAACACCAGUGGCGAAGGCGACUGUCUGGAUUAAUACUGACGCUGAGAUGCGAAAGCGUGGGGAGCAAACAGGAUUAGAUACCCUGGUAGUCC
rnacentral:rRNA from 1 species